UGUUCACAUCAGUAAGCUUUUUAAAAAUGAGAUGAAUUUGGGGCAUACUCUGUUUAAUUAUGCAUAAAAUAAAGAAUUUACAUAAUAUUUAGACUGUUUAUGCUGAUAUUAAAAUAAUACUACUAUUGUUGAAAAGUUAGAUCCUGAAACUACAAGUUUUUGAGAUUUAAAAGUAAAAUAUGAAGGUGUUUCAUACUCCUAAUUGGGAUAAAGAUUCAUCUAGUGAAAAAAUAUGGAAGGAUACUUUCAGUUUAAAAAAGACAUCCACAGGAAAAGUAGAAAAAGCUCAAAAGGAUAAACUGAUUAAAAGGAACUCUAAGAAGAAAUUGAGAGCGAAGUUCAAAAACAAAGAUUCUAGUAUAAAAAA
rnacentral:lncRNA from 1 species